rnacentral:rRNA from 1 species
CGGCGAGUGAAGCGGCAACAGCUCAAAUUUGAAAUCUGGCUCUUUCAGAGUCCGAGUUGUAAUUUGCAGAGGGCGCUUUGGCGUUGGCAGCGGUCCAAGUUCUUUGGAACAGGACGUCACAGAGGGUGAGAAUCCCGUACGUGGUCGCUAGACUUCGCCGUGUAAAGCCCCUUCGACGAGUCGAGUUGUUUGGGAAUGCAGCUCUAAAUGGGAGGUAAAUUUCUUCUAAAGCUAAAUACUGGCCAGAGACCGAUAGCGCACAAGUAGAGUGAUCGAAAGAUGAAAAGCACUUUGGAAAGAGAGUCAAAUAGCACGUGAAAUUGUUGAAAGGGAAGCGCUUGCAGCCAGACUUGCCUGUAGUUGCUUAUCCAGACUUUUGUCUGGUGCACUCUUCUAUAGGCAGGCCAGCAUCAGUUUGGGCGGUUGGAUAAAGGUCUCUAUCACGUACCUCUCUUCGGGGAGGCCUUAUAGGGGAGACGACAUACAACCAGCCUGGACUGAGGUCCGCGCAUCUGCUAGGAUGCUGGCGUAAUGGCUGUAAGCGGCCCGUCUUGAAACACGGACCAAGGAGUCUAACAUCUAUGCGAGUGUUUGGGUGUCAAGCCCAUACGCGUAAUGAAAGUGAACGGAGGUGGGAACCUUUUAGGUGCACCAUCGACCGAUCCUGAUGUCUUCGGAUGGAUUUGAGUAAGAGCAUGGCUGUUGGGACCCGAAAGAUGGUGAACUAUGCUUGAAUAGGGUGAAGCCAGAGGAAACUCUGGUGGAGGCUCGCAGCGGUUCUGACGUGCAAAUCGAUCGUCAAAUUUGGGCAUA